UGAGCUUGGUGCAUCAAUUGCC
rnacentral:siRNA from 1 species